rnacentral:rRNA from 1 species
GUGCCAGCAGUCGCGGUAACACGUAGAAGACUAGUGUUAUUCAUCUUUAUUAGGUUUAAAGGGUACCUAGACGGAAAAUCAAGCCAUAAUAGGAACUAAUUUUCUAGAGUUUUAUGAAAGAAGGUGCGAAUUUCCGGAGGAAAGUUGAUAUUUUAUGAUACUGGAAGGACGGGUAACGGCGAAGGCAACCUUCUAUGUAAAAACUGACGUUGAGGGACGAAGCCUUGGGUAACGAAAAGGAUUAGAUACCCUAGUAGUCCUUGGAGAAAAUUAUGAAUGUCAUAGGUUAGAGGGAAAGUGAGUUAAUAGCAGCUUAGUUGUUGUGGUUAUGUAACCGUGCGUACAUUUCAACGGUUCAGAAUACAGAUAACUGAACCUUCAGCAACAAUUAAGACUUGUAUAGCUAUGCUAAACUGUAUUAGAAUUUGGUCUACACAAAUUGCUACUAAUCCGCCUAGGAUCAUAAACUGUAUUAGAAUUUAGUCUACACAAGACGCUACUAAUCAAUCUAUGAUCCUAUAUUGUAUUAAUAUAUACAAAUGGUAAUCCAUGUAUCCAUGGACAACAAGUAUAGUUG